UCCAGUUAUGCGUUCCCUUGGAGCCAGAACGUGUCUGUUUUAUCCACCAGCUUGGUCCAAGCCUACUAGUUGUCACCUGAGAUCUGUUCUCUCCUUCUCUCUGAAAGUGACAGAUCUCCGAUGUUUGGUUGGCCUGUGUUCACCCAAAAGAAACACCACACUUCCCAGCCUCCCUUGCAGCUAGGUGUGGCCCUGAGCCCAAUUUCUGGCCAAUGGGGUAUUGUGAGUGGUCACAAUGUGCAUGACUGCUGGCUGUGCCCUUCCUCCUUCACCUCCUCCUGCUGUGGAAUACAGGUGUGAGUUGGGCUGCCCUUUGAACCAGGCAAACAGAGGCUUCACUCCAGAAAUGCCCAGCAUCAAGGCGCCCCCUGUGACCACCUGCGGGACUGGCACGGGCUUCAGGACAAAGCAGGGUGGAUGGCCAGGGAAGCCUUUGAGGCACCCAGCUGAAGGUCACAGAGCUGCGGUCACCGAGAUCCCCAAGGGACCAUGGAGAGCCAAGCCCCUGCCCACCUAGGACCUCCAUCCUUGACUGUUUGAUGGGAGAACAAAACAUUUCUCUAGGGUUUAAGCUGUGACUUUUGGGGGUCUGUGCAUGACAGCUGUUCAGCCUACCCUAACUCACACCAUCUUCAAGGGUAGACUUCAUCUUGGGAGGUACGGCUGCCCAGGGCAGUCAAGAAUUUGGAUGCGUGUGUGGGCAGGGCAUGUAGGGUGGGGCAAAGUCUUGGGCACACACAGGUGGCAGGCCCGCUGGCCAGUCCCCAUGCUGCUGCUGACAAAAGAUCCUCACCAGGCAGUGGGAGGCUAGUGUGAGGGCUCCUCAGCUGAAGUUGGCCAGGCCCAGCCCCAUGGCAGGGUCCCACUCUCCAACCCCAUCACUCCCUGGCUCUGGUACAGCCACCGCCUCCCACCUCGUGGAUGUCCCGGGUGUUGGCCUGUGGCCUGCUGCAGCGUAGGACCCUACCCGAGCCUCCUGCUCUCUCUCCCUAUCUCUCUCUCACACACAGAACCUGACUGCCCCUUACCUGCCCUCUAGCGUGGACACUCACUCACUCUGGUACUGCCCAGAUCUGCUAAUGGUGGGUAGUGACGCUGGGUCCCCGGACCUCAAAUGGCCAGAGUCCCAGAAUUCAGAAAGCCUUAUCUCUCAAAGUCAC